AUUGAACGCUGGCGGCAGGCUUAACACAUGCAAGUCGAGCGGAUGAAGGGUGCUUGCUCCUGGUUUCAGCGUCGGACGGGUGAGUAAUGCCUAGGAAUCUGCCUGGCAGUGGGGUAUAACGUCCGCAAACGGGUGCUGAUACCACCUACGUCCUGCGGGAGAAACUGGGGGAUCUUCGGACCUCACCCUAUCAGAUGAGUCUAGUCCGGAUUAGCUAGUUGGUGGGGUAAAGGCCUACCAAGCCGACGAUCCGCAACUGGCCUGUGAGGAUGAUCAGCCACACGGGAAGGGGACCGCGGUCCAGAGUCCUGAGGGAGGGAGCAGAGGGGUAUAGUGGGCAGUGGGCGAAAGCCUGAUCCAGUCAUGGCGAGUGUGUGGAGAAGGUGUUCGGAGUGUAAAGAACUUUAAGUUGGGGGGAAGGGCAGUAAGUUAUUACCUAGCGGUUUUGACGUUACCAACAGAAGAAGCACCGGCUAACUACGUG
rnacentral:rRNA from 1 species